rnacentral:tRNA from 1 species
AAUCAUAUAGUUUAAGGAAAAUGUUAAAUUGCAAAUUUAAAGAUGGUUUUCACCUAAGAUUU